AUGAGGAUGAUGAGGAUGACGAGGAAGAACAUCCCGGAGCCAUCGAUUCCCUGGGAUCCUUCCCUUCCUGGAAUUCCCUUUUCCCACCCCAAAGGGCCCUCCCUGGCCCCCCCAGUGCUCCUAAAAAGAUCCGGGAAAAGCCGGGAAUGCUCCAGGAAAAUCCGGGAAUGCUCCGGGAAAAGCUGGGAAUGCUGCGGGAAAAGCUGGGAAUGCUCUGGGAAAAGCCGGGAAUGCUGCGGGAAAAGCUGGGAAUGCUGCAGGAAAAGUUGGGAAUGCUUCAGGAAAAGUUGGGAAAGCUUCAGGAAAAGUUGGGAAUGCUGCAGGAAAAGCCGGGAAUGCUUCAGGAAAAGUUGGGAAAAGCCAGGAAUGCUGCAGGAAAAGCCGGGAAUGCUGCAGGAAAAGUUGGGAAUGCUGCAGGAAAAGCCGGGAAUGCUUCAGGAAAACUGCAGGAAAAGCCGGGAAUGCUGCAGGAAAAGCCGGGAAUGCUGCAGGAAAAGUUGGGAAAAGCCGGGAAUGCUCCAGGAAAAGCCGGGAAUGCUGCAGGAAAAGCCAGGAAUGCUCCAAGAAAAGCCGGGAAUGCUCCAGAAGCGCCGUUCCCUUUGCGCUGGGAGAUUGAAAUCCCUGGGAACGGGGGCGAUUCCAGCCCCAAAAUUCCCCUCACGGAAUUCUUUGGGAAUUCUGCUCCCCCUUCCCUGCAGGGAGAAACAGGAAAAGGAGGAAAAGCAGCGGGAAAAGUCAGGAAUGCUGCAGGAAAAGCUGGGAAUGCUCCAGGAAAAGCCAGGAAUGCUCUGGGAAGAGCUGGGAAAAGCCGGGAAUGCUGCAGGAAAAGGAGGAAAAGCGGCAGGAAAAGGAGAAAAAGUGGCUGGAAAAGCCGGGAAUGCUGCAGGAAAAGCUGGGAAUGCUGCAGGAAAAGUCGGGAAUGCUGCAGGAAAAGCUGGGAAUGCUGCAGGAAAAGCCGGGAAUGCUCUGGGAAAAGCCGGGAAUGCUCCGCGAAAAGGAGGAAAAGCGGCAGGAACGAGCUCAUUGCUGGGAAUUUCCAUCCCUAAAAAAUCCCUAAAAAAUCCCGGGAAGGGUCAGGAUUGAGGAAAAGCAGGAAAAAAUGGAUUUAUUUUUUUCCCUGGAUCCGAGUGGGAGGAGCUCCAGGAGGACUCCGAGCCCCGGGAAUCUCCUGAAUCAGCGGAUUCGAUUCCCAGCGAGGAAAAUUUCAGGAAUUUUUCCCUUUUUCCAGGAAAUCCCGUUCCUUUUCCAUCAUUUUCUGUGAUUUAGGGCUUUGGAUUGGGAGGAAUUUGGGAAUUACAGGAAAAUUUUUCCUUUUUUUUCCCAGCACUUUGACCUUGGGCACUUCCCGGUUUUCCAUUUUCCACCUGUUUGUGAAAAUUCCCGAAAAAUUCGGGAUCUUUUUGCCUUUUCCGCCCAUUUCCCUCUCUCAAAGCGGAAAUUCCCUUUUUUUUCCCGCCCGAUUUUGGGGAUUUUUACCUCGUUGUGAAUUUUUUCAGCCCCUCCGGCUUCAGGACCUCGAUUUUUUUUAACUUUUCCCAUCGUUUUUCCAUAAAAAUCCCUCAUUUCCCGCCCAUUCCCAGCAUUUCGGGCUCUGCCACAAGGAAAUUUGGGGUUUUUUGGGGUGGAUUUUCAGGAAUUUCGGUGUUGUCCGAGCAGCUUUUCCCCUCCACCCCCGGGGAAUUUUCCAUCCGCGUUUUCCCAAAAAAAAGAUGGAAAAGCCUCAUUUGAGAAGAGAGAGAGGAAGAGGAGCCCCUUGGGAUGAAGAUUUGGGGGAUUUUGGGGGAUUUUGGGAGCCGUCCGAGGGAUCCGAGCCCGUUCUGGGCUGGGAAAAGCUGGAAUGGGUUAAAAGAAAUAAAUAAUAAUAAUAAAAAAAAGAAUUCCA
rnacentral:lncRNA from 1 species